GAGCGCCCUGAGGGCGCCGCGCGGGCCGCGCCCGCCCGGGGGUCCCCUCAGCCCCGCCGAGGGCCCGGCCGUGCUCGCACACAGCCCCCCGUGCCUCUCCGCUGUCGGAAACAGACGGCCCUCAGCCCCCUCCCGGCCCUCUGACAGCCGGCACAAACGUUCGGGCGGUUCUCUGGGGGGACAGGGGUCAUCUGAGGUGAAGGCAGAGCAGACCCACCACAGACGCACCAAAGCUCGUAAGAUGCUUUGGGACGGAGGCUGCAGGCAGGAUCAGUGCAGUAAGCAGUUCAGGAGUUCUGGGCAACAGUCGUUUCUCUUCUUUCUUAGUCUGAGUUGGAAAGGACUUAAAAGGAUCGUCGAGUCCAGCUCUUCAAGUGAGCGGCCGACUCAUGUAGGCGUCGAUUGAACCCGUGACCUUGGCGUUCUUACAAAAAGCUUUCCAUCCCAUCAAUAGUUUUUCGCACGAGUUUGUUUUGAAGUGAAAUAGACACAUGAAUUCCUACCUACAUUUGAGAGUAAGUCAGCACUUCGUAAAUGAAAAUUGGACUUUGAAGUGGUACGUUGUCAUUAAAAACAGAAGUUGAUGAUGGAAUAAAAUCCUAAGGAGCAUCAAACUCACUUGCAGUGAGGUGGAUUAUCUUGUAGGAGGGCAUCUAGAUAAAGAAGCAGAAGAUCAUCAGGCGCAAGUAAAUUUCUGCCAGCGUUUGGUAGUUAAUAAUAUAUAAAGGCAGAUCUACCUUUGCUUUUAAAGUUAUAUUUCAAAUUAGAUGAGGGUUUAGAUGUUUUAUACUCAGAAGCAUAAUUCUUACUUUUAAAGUCUACACAUUUUAUGCCUUAACUCCCCCCAGCUCAGUCACUUGACUGAAGCAGAAUCCGUACCCUUUAACCUGGAGACAAGAUUAAAUGUUGAAAAGCUUGCAGGACUCUCCCCCACAUUGUAUGUGAAAAGGAUAAUGAGAAAAUUGUAUUAAAGUAGAAAGCAACUGUAAGUGAAUGUCAGAGUGUUGUGAGGUAUUCUGCACUCCUCUGGCCCAGGGUCUUUAUCAGACAAUAAAGGCUCUCAAAGAAAGCCUCGGGAGCUCAGAGGAACCACAGCCCUGAUUUCCUGUACCUCAAGCAGAACAUUUCUUGUACUUUUCCUUUCCAGAUACACACUGCUACCAUUACCUGGCAGAUUUUGCCCCUGCCACUUUUAGCACACUGAUGAUUCCUUUUGAAUGGCUGAGGUCUCUGUAGCCCCUCUACUCAAGACAAACAAGCUGCUUUGAUGAAAAACAGCUGUAAUGGAAGCGGCAGUGAAAAAAUAUGUGCACUUCUAGUCUUGUUUCUUAAAAUAAUUCUAGCCCCCAGACUAUCUCUUAAGUGCACUGGACAAUUUAAUCCAAAAUUGAUGAGAGCACAGAAGUCUGAAAUACAUGAGAUUUCUACAAAUCACCUUAAAGUAAUGAGGCAGGUUGAGAAAAAGAUACAAAUGAGAAGGCAAAACCCAUAAAGUGAAUUGUUGCUUCCAGCUUUCUGGUCUUAGAUGUCUGCUAUGAAAGAAAAAUGGAGAAGGAAACGUGGUUAAGGCUUAUUUUUGGCUGGAAAAAAAAAAAAAACCCAACACCCCAAGCAUUUAAUUGUAUUUGUGUUACGCAUUUUGGGGACAGAAUUGGAAGAGAAAUUUAGAUCUUCUAAUGAACACACUUUUGAUAAUCUGUACCAUUGAUAAGACCCAGAAAUCAGUGUUUCCUGAAGCUGCUUGACAAAAUUGAAUAAACAUGCUGUCUGUGUCUGUCCAGCUCAAUGGCACUUACAGGGAGAUGGUUAUUUCACUCAAUUUGGACGAUGAAAACUCAUUUUAUUAUUUCUUCCAUAUUCUUGUUGGAAAUACAUUUCCACGCAUCCUGUUCAAUUUCUGAAUUAAUUUGUAGAUCUAAACCUGUCACUAUUGGAACCUGCUUUUUGCAGCUCUUGAUGGGGCUGUUUCUUCAUUCUCUUCAGAAGGCCAGAAGAGAUCCUUCAGAGAGGAUCAAACACAUUUUUACCUUUCUACAUAUCCAGGAAUAGUAGCAACAGUCCAGUUAAUGGCUUUUUGGUGCUUAAGUUGUAAUAAACUGCAGCAUGUAAGCAUCUAAGCAAGUUAUCAUGGAUUUUUUGGUGCACAAAAAUUUCUCUGGUAGUCUUUUUGACUAUGGCCGUAUGUACUUCACACUUUGCCAAGCGUGUGACGCAGUCAGUACUGAAAUUUAACAAUAAACACAAUAAACUGGACUUUAUUCCAUACUGCUGUACAAAGUACUUGACAACAGUGAUUCUCAACUGGCCAGACCCCUCAAGAAUACAGGAAGGACAUAACAGAAUUAAACCAACCUGCUCAGGUUUAGCUGAUUGCAAGUAACAAUUGUUUAAUUUUUUUUGUUUGUUUGUUUAUUUGUUUUUAAGAGUUCCAGGGUAAGGACAGAAAAACUUUUGUGGUCUGCUAUAUUGCAAUAAAAUGAAAUGCAUUGAGAACAAACUUCUGACAAAGUUUUAAAUAAGUAAAAAUGUCAUGGCAUAAGUAAAGUAAUUCUUAAUUAUUUUGUAGGUAAUAGACACCAGAAGCACAGGGAAAGUUUUUCAUCUUGAUAAAAGACAUAGAUUUUUUUUAGUUAGAGCAAUUGAGAGAGUCCCCAUCCCUGGAAGUUCUCCAGACACAGCUGGGCAGGGUGCUGGAAAAUCCCACCUAGGCUUUGUUUUCCACACAAGGUGGCACCGGGUGAUGGUUUGAGGUCCCCGCCAGCCUGGGGUGCUCUGUGAUCAUCCCAUAAAAAAAAGAGAUGUAAUUCACCUUGCCCAGGAAGCACAAGAACAGCCUGCUUUCAUUUUAAGGGUUCCUCUUUUCUUACCCGGUCUGACUUGGAUUCAAGCCCUCGGCACCUUCAGGAAGGCCCUGGCUUUGUUUUUCAGGUGUAUUGGGUUUGACUGCACACACAGAAAAGGUUUCUCAGCUCGCUCCUUACAAUCUUGGGGUAACCCAGCCACAUGGAAGCCAAGUAAAAGUACAACUGCAGACAGGCAAUAAAGAAGAGCAAAAUCCUGACCACCUUUAAAACCUCAGUUCCGUUGCUUGAGAAGCAGGAGAUGGAGAGCUGAGAACCCGCAGUGCUCAGCCCCUGCCCAGAGCAGAGCCCAGGCCUCUGCCAUCUGCAGUACAGACAGACAGACAGACAGACAGACAGAGUUCCUGGUGCAGGACAGCUAAGUGCACAGACCGACAGCUUUAACUCCCAGGCUGCCACGUACAGGAGGAGCAGGGAGAGUCCUGAGAGCUUCUGCGUGCAGCAAGAGCCCAGGUUCAGGCAGAGGAGGGGACAGCUUUGUCUGUGGGCCUGAUCCAGCACCAGGGAGUCCUGGGGUCACUCCUCCUGCCUCCAGCCGGCUCACAUGGAAGAAGUUGCAGGAUGAGCCUUUUCUUCAGAAUCAGCCGGCUGUCCCAGUGCACUGUUCUGCUUUUCAUCAGCACAGUCAAAGUCACAGAUCUGUCCUG